rnacentral:misc_RNA from 1 species
CAAGAAGCGCCGAAAGGCUGCUUCACAACAUAGGAACUAUCUCAGGUUGCUUCGGCGGUCGCUCGCCCCUCGGGGCCAGGCGCGGCUGGCCGGCCGCCGAGUGGCCGGAGGUACGAAACUCUUUAUAAUGCUAGUUACAUCUGAGUAUACUAUAGCUUAAUAAGUCA